CGAUCAGUAGCUCAGCGGCAGAGCACCGGUCCUACAAACCGCAACGCGGGGGUUCGAGUCCCUCCUGAUCGA
rnacentral:tRNA from 1 species